UACGUAGGGGGCUAGCGUUGUCCGGAAUCAUUGGGCGUAAAGAGCUCGUAGGCGGUGUGUCGCGUCGGCCGUGAAACCUGCAGCUUAACUGUGGGCUUGCGGUCGAUACGGGCAUCACUGGAGUUCGGCAGGGGAGACUGGAAUUCCUGGUGUAGCGGUGAAAUGCGCAGAUAUCAGGAGGAACACCGGUGGCGAAGGCGGGGUC
rnacentral:rRNA from 1 species